GUGCUCACUUCAGCAGCAUGUAUAUUAAAAUUGGGAACAAUACAGAGAUUAGCAUGGCUUCUUCCCAAGAAAAACAAGUAAAUUUAUGAAGUGUUCCAUUUUUUA
rnacentral:snRNA from 1 species